GAGGUGAUAGCUCAGUGGUAGAGCGGAUGAUUGCAGCGAUAGCGGAACUCAUCAGGUCGGGUGUUCAACUCACUCUCGCCUCU
rnacentral:tRNA from 1 species